ACGAACGCUGGCGGCGCGCCUAACACAUGCAAGUCGAACGAGCGAGAGAGAGCUUGCUUUCUCGAGCGAGUGGCGAACGGGUGAGUAACGCGUGAGGAACCUGCCUCAAAGAGGGGGACAACAGUUUGAAACGACUGCUAAUACCGCAUAAGCCCACGGCUCGGCAUCGAGCAGAGGGAAAAGGAGCAAUCCGCUUUGAGAUGGCCUCGCGUCCGAUUAGCUAGUUGGUGAGGUAACGGCCCACCAAGGCGACGAUCGGUAGCCGGACUGAGAGGUUGAAAGGCCACAUUGGGACUGAGACACGGCCCAGACUCCUACGGGAGGCAGCAGUGGGGAAUAUUGCACAAUGGGGGAAACCCUGAUGCAGCGACGCCGCGUGGAGGAAGAAGGUCUUCGGAUUGUAAACUCCUGUUGUUGAGGAAGAUAAUGACGGUACUCAACAAGGAAGUGACGGCUAACUACGUGCCAGCCGCCGCCGUAA
rnacentral:rRNA from 1 species